rnacentral:lncRNA from 1 species
GCAUCCCAAAUCUGAAAAUCCAAAAUCUGAAAUGCUCCAGUGAGUUUUGGAUUUUGGAGCAUUUCAGCUUUGGGUUUUCUGAUGAAUGAUACUCAGCCUAUAUUCCACAGAGCGGGACUGCAGGGUCGAGAACUGUGUGUUUGGAUGAUGACAUAGAGUCAGGCCGCCCUCCAGGAGGAAAAGCCACAUUCCCAGGAGGCUACAGUAAGUGUUUUUGGGGUGGGGACCUCGGCUUACACUUCCUGGUGGAAUCCAAGGCCUCCUCUGUGGACCCUGAUCGGGGAAGGUUCCCAGGGAACCACGGUGGGCUUGGGGAGAGGCAUCCAUCAGGGCAUGAGGCCACCAGAGUGAGGGGCGUGGGGCGAACAAUGGAGCUACCCUGCCAUCCCUAGGACAGGCCUUGGGGGCUGAGAGUGCUCCCCCACCUCACGCCCAGCCAGUCAAGGCCCUGUUUAACGGGGAGUGGCCAGGUUGAUGCUCAGGGUGACUUGGCAAUGUGGCCAAGCCAUCUCUGUCGUGAGUCUUCAGGGGAAGAGACUAAGACACCCCACAGAGCUGCAUUCCCGCACACUGUGGGGCCGAGAACCUCAUCUGUGCCAGUGAGUCCUCAGCUCAUGGACUUCCGAGCUGCUCCUUUGCGGCACCGGACCACGGUUUUGGCCUCCGGGUAUGCGCAAUCCUUUUUUAAAAAAAUUAAAAAUGUUUCCAUUGUAUUAAAGUAUUCAUAACAUCAAACGUAUCACCUGAAGUGCAACCCAUCUCCAGAACUUGCCAAACUGAAACUCUAUAACCACUAAGCAAUAGCUCUCCUCUGCCCUGGCCCCUGGCCACCCCAGUCUGCUGUCUGUCCCUAGGAACGUUACUACCCUACGUACUUCCUAUGAGGGGAGCCGCACGGCGUCUGUCCUUUUCCAUCCCUAGGAACGUGACUACCCUACGUACUUCCUAUGAGGGGAGCCGCACGGCGUCUGUCCUUUUCCAUCCCUAGGAACGUGACUACCCUACGUACUUCCUAUGAGGGGAGCCGCACGGCGUCUGUCCUGUUCCAUCCCUAGGAAUGUGACUACCCUACGUACUUCCUAUGAGGGGAGCCGCACGGCGUCUGUCCUUUUCCAUCCCUAGGAACGUGACUACCCUACGUACUUCCUAUGAGGGGAGCUGCACGGCGUCUGUCCUUUUCCGUCCCUAGGAAUGUGACUACCCUACGUACUUCCUAUGAGGGGAGCCGCAUGGCGUCUGUCCUGUUCCAUCCCUAGGAACGUGACUACCCUACGUACUUCCUAUGAGGGGAGCCGCACGGCGUCUGUCCUUUUCCAUCCCUAGGAAUGUGACUACCCUACGUACUUCCUAUGAGGGGAGCUGCACGGCGUCUGUCCUUUUCCAUCCCUAGGAAUAUGACUACCCUACGUACUUCCUAUGAGGGGAGCCGCAUGGCGUCUGUCCUGUUCCAUCCCUAGGAACGUGACUACCCUACGUACUUCCUAUGAGGGGAGCCGCACGGCGUCUGUCCUUUUCCAUCCCUAGGAAUGUGACUACCCUACGUACUUCCUAUGAGGGGAGCUGCACGGCGUCUGUCCUGUUCCAUCCCUAGGAACGUGACUACCCUACGUACUUCCUAUGAGGGGAGCCGCACGGCGUCUGUCCUUUUCCGUCCCUAGGAAUAUGACUACCCUACGUACUUCCUAUGAGGGGAGCUGCACGGCGUCUGUCCUUUUCCAUCCCUAGGAAUGUGACUACCCAACGUACUUCCUAUGAGGGGAGCCGCACGGCGUCUGUCCUUUUCCAUCCCUAGGAACGUGACUACCCUACGUACUUCCUAUGAGGGGAGCCGCACGGCGUCUGUCCUUUUCCAUCCCUAGGAACGUGACUACCCUACGUACUUCCUAUGAGGGGAGCCGCACGGCGUCUGUCCUUUUCCAUCCCUAGGAAUGUGACUACCCUACGUACUUCCUAUGAGGGGAGCCGCACGGCGUCUGUCCUUUUCCAUCCCUAGGAAUGUGACUACCCUACGUACUUCCUAUGAGGGGAGCCGCACGGCGUCUGUCCUGUUCCAUCCCUAGGAAUGUGACUACCCUACGUACUUCCUAUGAGGGGAGCCGCACGGCGUCUGUCCUUUUCCAUCCCUAGGAACGUGACUACCCUACGUACUUCCUAUGAGGGGAGCCGCACGGCGUCUGUCCUUUUCCAUCCCUAGGAACGUGACUACCCUACGUACUUCCUAUGAGGGGAGCUGCACGGCGUCUGUCCUUUUCCGUCCCUAGGAAUGUGACUACCCUACGUACUUCCUAUGAGGGGAGCCGCAUGGCGUCUGUCCUGUUCCAUCCCUAGGAACGUGACUACCCUACGUACUUCCUAUGAGGGGAGCCGCACGGCGUCUGUCCUUUUCCAUCCCUAGGAAUGUGACUACCCUACGUACUUCCUAUGAGGGGAGCUGCACGGCGUCUGUCCUUUUCCAUCCCUAGGAAUAUGACUACCCUACGUACUUCCUAUGAGGGGAGCCGCAUGGCGUCUGUCCUGUUCCAUCCCUAGGAACGUGACUACCCUACGUACUUCCUAUGAGGGGAGCCGCACGGCGUCUGUCCUUUUCCAUCCCUAGGAACGUGACUACCCUACGUACUUCCUAUGAGGGGAGCUGCACGGCGUCUGUCCUGUUCCAUCCCUAGGAAUGUGACUACCCAACGUACUUCCUAUGAGGGGAGCCGCACGGCGUCUGUCCUUUUCCAUCCCUAGGAACGUGACUACCCUACGUACUUCCUAUGAGGGGAGCCGCACGGCGUCUGUCCUUUUCCAUCCCUAGGAACGUGACUACCCUACGUACUUCCUAUGAGGGGAGCUGCACGGCGUCUGUCCUUUUCCAUCCCUAGGAACGUGACUACCCUACGUACUUCCUAUGAGGGGAGCUGCACGGCGUCUGUCCUGUUCCAUCCCUAGGAAUGUGACUACCCUACGUACUUCCUAUGAGGGGAGCCGCACGGCGUCUGUCCUUUUCCAUCCCUAGGAACGUGACUACCCUACGUACUUCCUAUGAGGGGAGCCGCACGGCGUCUGUCCUGUUCCGUCCCUAGGAAUGUGACUACCCUACGUACUUCCUAUGAGGGGAGCCGCACGGCGUCUGUCCUUUUCCAUCCCUAGGAAUAUGACUACCCUACGUACUUCCUAUGAGGGGAGCUGCACGGUGUCUGUCCUUUUCCAUCCCUAGGAACGUGACUACCCUACGUACUUCCUAUGAGGGGAGCCGCACGGCGUCUGUCCUUUUCCAUCCCUAGGAACGUGACUACCCUACGUACUUCCUAUGAGGGGAGCCGCACGGCGUCUGUCCUUUUCCAUCCCUAGGAAUAUGACUACCCUACGUACUUCCUAUGAGGGGAGCUGCACGGCGUCUGUCCUUUUCCGUCCCUAGGAACGUGACUACCCUACGUACUUCCUAUGAGGGGAGCCGCACGGCGUCUGUCCUUUUCCAUCCCUAGGAACGUGACUACCCUACGUACUUCCUAUGAGGGGAGCCGCACGGCGUCUGUCCUUUUCCAUCCCUAGGAACGUGACUACCCUACGUACUUCCUAUGAGGGGAGCCGCACGGCGUCUGUCCUUUUCCAUCCCUAGGAAUGUGACUACCCUACGUACUUCCUAUGAGGGGAGCCGCACGGCGUCUGUCCUUUUCCAUCCCUAGGAAUGUGACUACCCUACGUACUUCCUAUGAGGGGAGCCGCACGGCGUCUGUCCUGUUCCAUCCCUAGGAAUGUGACUACCCUACGUACUUCCUAUGAGGGGAGCCGCACGGCGUCUGUCCUGUUCCAUCCCUAGGAACGUGACUACCCUACGUACUUCCUAUGAGGGGAGCCGCACGGCGUCUGUCCUUUUCCAUCCCUAGGAACGUGACUACCCUACGUACUUCCUAUGAGGGGAGCCGCACGGCGUCUGUCCUUUUCCAUCCCUAGGAAUGUGACUACCCUACGUACUUCCUAUGAGGGGAGCCGCACGGCGUCUGUCCUUUUCCAUCCCUAGGAAUGUGACUACCCUACGUACUUCCUAUGAGGGGAGCCGCACGGCGUCUGUCCUUUUCCAUCCCUAGGAACGUGACUACCCUACGUACUUCCUAUGAGGGGAGCCGCACGGCGUCUGUCCUUUUCCAUCCCUAGGAACGUGACUACCCUACGUACUUCCUAUGAGGGGAGCCGCACGGCGUCUGUCCUUUUCCAUCCCUAGGAAUGUGACUACCCUACGUACUUCCUAUGAGGGGAGCCGCACGGCGUCUGUCCUUUUCCAUCCCUAGGAACGUGACUACCCUACGUACUUCCUAUGAGGGGAGCCGCACGGCGUCUGUCCUUUUCCGUCCCUAGGAAUGUGACUACCCUACGUACUUCCUAUGAGGGGAGCCGCACGGUGUCUGUCCUUUUCCAUCCCUAGGAAUGUGACUACCCUACGUACUUCCUAUGAGGGGAGCCGCACGGCGUCUGUCCUUUUCCAUCCCUAGGAACGUGACUACCCUACGUACUUCCUAUGAGGGGAGCCGCACGGCGUCUGUCCUUUUCCAUCCCUAGGAACGUGACUACCCUACGUACUUCCUAUGAGGGGAGCUGCACGGCGUCUGUCCUUUUCCAUCCCUAGGAACGUGACUACCCUACGUACUUCCUAUGAGGGGAGCUGCACGGCGUCUGUCCUUUUCCAUCCCUAGGAACGUGACUACCCUACGUACUUCCUAUGAGGGGAGCCGCACGGCGUCUGUCCUUUUCCGUCCCUAGGAAUGUGACUACCCUACGUACUUCCUAUGAGGGGAGCUGCACGGCGUCUGUCCUUUUCCAUCCCUAGGAAUAUGACUACCCUACGUACUUCCUAUGAGGGGAGCCGCACGGCGUCUGUCCUUUUCCGUCCCUAGGAAUGUGACUACCCUACGUACUUCCUAUGAGGGGAGCCGCACGGUGUCUGUCCUUUUCCGUCCCUAGGAAUGUGACUACCCUACGUACUUCCUAUGAGGGGAGCCGCACGGUGUCUGUCCUGUUCUGUCCCUAGGAAUGUGACUACCCUACGUACUUCCUAUGAGGGGAGCCGCACGGUGUCUGUCCUGUUCUGUCCCUAGGAAUGUGACUACCCUACGUACUUCCUAUGAGGGGAGUCGCACGGCGUCUAUCCUUUUCCAUCCCUAGGAAUGUGACUACCCUACGUACUUCCUAUGAGGGGAGCCGCACGGCAUCUGUCCUUUUUUGGCUGCUUAUUUCCCUCAGCAUCACUUCUUCAGGGCUCACGCACGCAGCAACCCGUGUCAGCACGUCCUUCCUUUCUGAGGCUGAGCAAUGUUCCCCUGUACGGAUGGAUCACGUUUUGUCGUCUGUUCAUAGAUGAUUUAAACACCUCGGCUAGAUUAUUUCAGAACUAGAGGAAAUGCUUUGGCUUCCAUUAACCCCUGGCCGGGGACUGGCUCCUGUGAGGCUUCUACACAAUUACCGCGACCUCCUCUCAUCUUUUGGGUGUAUGCCCGUGAAAGCUAGCAAAUCUACAAAAGUGUAUUUCAUACAGACAUUUCAAAGAAUCAUAUUCCAGUAAAUACCUGUGAGCUCAUCAAGAAAUAAAAUGGUGCUGGAUGUGAGAAGCUCCCGUAAACCCACCCUCCCUCUCAGAGGUAACCACCAUCUGGAAUUUUGUAUUAAGCAAUCUCUUGCUUUUCUAGUUUAAAAAAACCUUGUAUGUAUGUAUGCAUUUCUAAAUAAAUACAGUUGACCCAUGAACCACAUGGGCUGGAACUGCACAGGCCCACUCCUAGCUGGAUUUUCCUCUCCCUCCAUCACCCUUGUGACAACGAAAGCAACCCCUCCUCUUCCUCCUCCUCAUCUCCCCGUCACCCCUGUGACAAUAAAACCAACUCCCCUUCCUCCUCAGCCUACCCAACACGAAGACGAUGAGGAUGAAGACCUUCACGAUGACCCACUUCCCCUUCAUGAAGAGUAAAUAUAUUCUCUCUUCCUCAUGAUUUUCUUAAUAACAUUUUCUUUUCUCUA